UUUUUUGAAACAUUUCCGGUUGUUUUGGUAGAUGAGGAGGGAAUUGUUAGAGCAGACGUUCCUUUUAGAAGAGCAGAAUCCAAAUAUAGUGUUGAACAAGUAGGUGUAACGGUGGGGAAAGUCUAUGAUGAAUUUGGAAAACUCAUCUCACUCUUACUCUAUGGCUCGGACUUAAUGAGGGAAGAAAACAUCUUCCAUUACUACUAG
rnacentral:rRNA from 1 species